rnacentral:lncRNA from 1 species
UUUAGAUUUUGAUUUUGAGACUCAAUACUUCUGUAUUAGUUGCCCUUCCCUGAGACAAAUGUAUUAUAUUUUAAAUCAGGACUCUUUAAUAGAUAAUUUGUUAUAACAUAGGAGAAGGAAGCUAAUUUCUUAACAACUCCAUGGAAAACACAAAAUGGUUCAGGGAGAUUUCAGAAAACUUCCCUGGAGGAUACAGAUUAACAAUUUCUCUGGUUCUUAUGAAUUCUCCCAAUAUUUGGUAAAGAAUCUUAUUCAUAGUAGAUGCUUAAUAAAUACUUGUUAGAUGGAUGAAUGAACAAAUAUCCCUGGGCCCAUGACAGGGAAAGCUUUGAUUUUCCUUUGUUCAGGUUAGGUAAUGGAGUCACAUUAAAGAUACAUAAAAGUUGACGAAAAAAUGAACAAUUAAUUAACAAACAUUUAUAUUUCAGUGUUAGGAAAUAUGGUAUGAUAAGGAAAACAGUUAAGACAAUGAUUUGUACAGAAUCAACUUGUUUAGGAAAUGAAAACAUCACAAGUUACAUUUUGACAAGAUCAAAUAUCACAUUUAACAUACAUGUAUGACAGACAAUGUUUCUGAUUUUGAUAUUAACAUACCAUCAGUUAUACACAUGAGAUAUAUUGUCAGUUCAAUUUUGGGUUGUGAAAUAUAUAAUUUUUUGAUAGGACAUUUCAGAUUAUAACAUAUUUCAGGCAGCAUGCAGGAAAAGUCAUUUAUUGUACAUUUGUUAGGACGCACUUCACACAAAGCUUCCAUUGUUUGGUCAUUAGAUCAGUAUUAUAGAAAUAUUUGAAAUAAUAUUAUGGUUGAAAUCAGCAGUUGUAUUCACUGGCUGAGAGCAUAUCUGGUAAAAAUAAAACUCUCUGAAUUCAUUCAUUGACAAAAUGCACAGUCAUCAUAAACUAAAUUCGUUCAAAAUUGUUUUUCCACAAUUAAUUCUCAUUUAUUGGUGAUAUAGCAGCUGCAGGGAAUCUGAAUUCUGAGAGCUGGUUUUACAUAAUAGCAGAAAUUUAUUCUUCUGGGAAUCACGUGAUUACAACAAAGAUGUUUAUCAUUUGAAAUCACAUAUUAUAACAACGGUGCUGUACAGACAUCACAAAUAUUUGGUGUCUCCAAGUCUUAACAAAUAUUAUGCUGUGGUUAUUUCACAAAGAGACUAGAUUAACAGGCAGUGUAAAUCACAUAUAUCUUAAUAUUUUAAAAAUACAUUUUGUACAAUACGCUUCUCAUUUCUUCACUAGCAUUUCCUUUGGGUGCUUUUUUGUCUUUAUACUUACAGUCCUUAGAGAAACUGUGAGUCUCUGGCUCGUGCCAAGAAAGUCAAUAGGAUUGAUAUUUUCCCACAAGAAUAUGGCUGAGUGUACGUUGAAUCACACAGUCAACAAAGCAACAUUAACUUGUAACAGAUUCUUUUUAAAAUUCAAAUAAAAUCUAAUUGUUUUAAAAGACAGUAGUUUGAACAAAACUCUAGUAAUCAAAAUUUUUAUUUACAAAACAUUUGAAUAUAUUUUUAAAUGGCUAGUUCUUGCUAACUGCACAGAUUAAAUAUCCUUGAUGCACACAGUCUGUUAACAUCUUGUGCAACAUUUCAGGCCUUUAAGUUAUAUGAAAUGGUUAGACGAGAAAAUUAAAUAGCCAUUUCCAUCCACUCAAAGUGCUUUAAGGGGAGCAUUUUAAUGCUUCCCAUGUUAGACAACAUCUGCUGUUACUGUUGGUACCUCUAACUGUAAAGACCAGCUGAAAUUCCCAAAAUGCAUAAUGCAGUAUAAGAAUUGGAGGAAAGAGUGAUAAGUUUACCGUAAAAUAUUAGAAUUCAAAUAUAGCUUGAUGUUGUUGACCCAAGACACCAUACCUCUCCUAUUCAAGGCUUCUGGGUAUUACAUUGGCUUUAAAAAUAUUUCCUUGGUCCUUAGAAAUACAAAAUACUAAUUUUCAAAAGAUAGACGAUGAUAAGGAAAGCAUUUCUGACAAUCAUGUUCAUAAUAGAAGAAGUUAGUCUACAUUUACAGAUCAUUAAACAGUUUUCUUUGGCAGGAAACUUUAUAAAUAUCAUCCAUUAUUCCUUCAGUGAGGCCAUUUUCCCUUUUGAUAAUAUCAGGUAACUGGUCACUCAUUAACUACUUUAAGAUAAUAAGAAAACAUCACAGAUAUAAAAUAUUUAAGUGUAGCACAUAUUCUUUCUGAAAAUUAAGUUCCAAGUGUAUUGAUUCAUUGAUAGUAGAGAAGAUAUUUUACACAGGUUUUUCUAACAGCGUUUUUACAUAUUGUAAUUUCAACAAUAUGAUCACCAAUGAGGGUAUGUCUACCUUUAUUCCACAUAAAAUUUUAUCACUGAAGCACACUAAAAAAAACCACACUGGAAACUGAAUAUUAUACAUUGUGUUUUCCACAAAAUGAGUAACAUAUGGUGCAUAUACUUGUGUGUCUUUUGGGCUCAAAAUGGCAAUUCUUAAGCGAUUACAUUCAUCAGCAUGAAAGACUCAAAACUGAAAAAUUCACUUAAGUAUCCAAAUAUCUGACUGAUAUGCCAUCACUCAGAAAUUUCAAAGUGCUGCGUGUUUAUUCUAAAAAAUAGCUUCAGAUGUAUGAGAAAUAUUCCAGGUAAGCUGGAGAAAUAUUAGGGUUGCUUGCUGCAUUUUCCAAGGUAAGAUCUCUUAGUUGUGCCUCUCUUCCUUCUACUCUCCUCCUCCCUUCCUUUGAAGAUUAUUUGUGAUGUAUCCUUCAAACAUGUUAUAUGGUAUGCACAGGAUGUCUUUUCCUUUUUGACCCAGUGUAGGGAAUUCUUGAUUACUAUUUGGGGAGAUGAGGUUUCUUUUUGUUGUUGUUGUCAUCAAUGCAUUAGUACAGAGGUGAGGUUUCUGACAUGAUGUCGUGCCACCCUUUUUUUUAUGGAUUGCCCCUUGCUCUGGAUCAGAAUGAGUUCAAUUCACCACCACAGUUUUCCAUUAACCUUAUCCAGUGGGGAAAAUCUUCCAUCAGUAACCAUCAAGAACGAGACAGAAGUCCAAGAGAAGUCUUCCUUCUCACCUGCUCCUCAACUCUGUCAGUGGCACAGAGCACUUUUGUGCAUAUAUACAGUAUGUACAGCAUGCUGGUCCCUUCCCUUCUCUGUGUUGAGAAAGCCACAUGUCCUCUGGUGUGAGCUUGAUACUGUCUACAAAUAUGGAUCAGUGGAACUCAGGGAAGUCCUGUUGUAAUAACAGUUGUCCCAGCAAUGAUUGUUAUUAUGGCUUUAUUGGAAUAGUGUUGAGUUGCACCACUGACCUAUGAAUAGUACUGAAAGGCAAAGCUGUAGAGGUACUAAAAGAUAAUUAUCCACUACCUUCUAAUGUCAGGGCCUUUAAUAUAUUUAUUAGUAUAUGUUUGUGAAACAUAAUAAUUACACCUAUCUUUGGGAACUGGUACAUAUACUAAUGCAUCUUGAUCACUUUUACUCACCCUUCCCCUCUUAACCUUCCUUCUUCCUCCUUCCCCUGAUCUGCUUCCCUUUAUUCCCUUCCCAUCUCCAUAGAGGCUACCUCCCUAUUUCUUACCACCUCUCUUUAAUUUUGCUGUAUUUACACUUUGGGUUCCUCUUAUGAGUGAACCCAUGUGAUACUUAACCUUCUGCAUCUAUUUUAGUUAGAAUUAUGGUCUCAAGAUCCAUCCAUUUAUCUACAAAUAAUUCAAAUGUAUCCUUCUUUAUAGCUGAGUGGAUAUAUAUAGCUAUAUAUCCACUGUGUAUAAAUACCACAUUUUCUUUAUCCAUUCAUCUCUUGAUGGGCCUAUUGGCUGCUUCCACAAUUUAGAUAUCAUGAAUUGUGCAGAUGUAAACAUGGAUAUGUAUGUUCAUUGUAAUAUGAUCACUUUAGCUCUUUUGGGAAGAUACCCAGAAGAAUAGCUAGGUCAAAUGUAAUUUCUUUUUAGUUAUUUGAGGAAUCUCCAUACUGAUUCCCACGGUCCUGAUACUAGUUUACAUUCUCACCAACAAUGUAGAAGGGUUCUUUUUCCCCGAAUCCUCUCAGCAUUUGUUGUUUCCUGAGUUCUUAGUAAUAGCCAUUCUAAGUGGAAUAAGAUUUGAUGUACUUCCUAAGUAAAGGUCUUUAGAGUGUGUCACUUUCCCCCCUGCUUUUUCUGUGAUAAAUUUUAAAUCAAGGUUUCAAGAUUUCAGUAUCUGAGCCAAUAGCACAAAGCAUGUGGACGAAGAAAAGCCAUUGUUGGGACUUGGCCUUGGAAACCCCUGUGACUACGGAGGUCAGGAAGAAGGUAACAGCUCUUGAUCUCUUUGAUGGAUCUGAGUGAAUUCCUGUCAUUCUGACCCAGUCUCUUCCCCUGCAAGGAUGAAACUGGCCUGAAAGGUGUAAUCAUUCUAGGAAGUAGCUUCUUAGCAAGGCUUUGACAUUGAGCAAAAUUUAGGAUGUGCAAUGGAGAUGUAGAUUAUGGUGGACACUGGCGGUGUGGGAGUUGGUGGAGCUACCUUGAGGUGGGACACGGUAGGAUCAGAGAAGUGGGAAAAGAUCCAAUGAGAUGAUGUGCUCAGCCACAGCAAAUGGAUGCCCAAACACACGCUCAAGCUUUGAUCACCGACAGGAGAACACAGAUUUUAGAGGAGCAGUUAGAACAAAAGAUGUCUAUCACUAAUUCUCAUCCCCCCCAUCCCAGAAAAGAGCAGUCAUUUCAAAAUAGCUGACAAUUCUGGCUCCUGAGGGAGGACUAAAGUGAUAGUUCUAGUGUUUGCCUCCAGAAUAUCAUUAUGGAGCUUAUAUGUUAGGCUUUUUCUUUUUUAGAUCCUUUGAAUUACUUUUUCUAGAUCAACAGGAAGGACCAAAUACAUAUGGGCGUUUUAAGUGCACAUAACAUAUUUUUUUCAGAUUAAAUUUAAGGGAAAACACACACACACACACACACACACACACACACUCCACAACCCUAAGUUUCCUUGUCUAAGCCAUUUUUAUAUGCAAAGUCCCUUGGUGACUCUCUACUUCAGUCCUGGCCCAGAGCAAAUGAGAAAGCCUAGAAAGGAGGUCUCUGGGGACUUGGGGUCGUGCCUGCCCUGUCUGUGGUUUUCAAGUUUUAUGAGCCAUGUGGGCCUUUGGAAACACCUUCUAAAAACCAAAGCUCACUCAUCACUAGUGGCCAUUUAUCUCAGCGUCUACCCACUCUUCAAACUGGAAGACUGUCACCAGACAGUUACACAACACUGCAGCACUAGGGCAAAUGGGCAGAGCUAAUCCAUGAAGAGAAAGACCUCCAAGAUCAUUUUCUAGGCCCUUGGGCAGUCAAGUAAAUCAGAUCAGCUCUUGCUUUUAAAAAGAAUGAUAAAGGCUAAUCAGAAAUCUCUCUGACUGGCAAGCCUGCCCAAGGCCCACUUAUAUCAGAAACAAAUAGUUCUAAGGAUAAAUUUUCCUUUAAAUGGCAUUGUAGGUCUGAAUGGUGAACAUUUCUGCCCGUACACUAGCUUCAUUGUACCAAGGCGGAGCUUACAAUUUAAGCUUUCAAGCUUCUUCCUGGGAAGAAGCAGAGUUAAACCAUGGUGACAUUGAUUAUUCUGACCAUACAGAGCAUGGUGUGCAUAAAUGGUUUUAAAUUGGAACACAAAUCAGAAUCAUCUGAAGGGCUUAUCAUGACCCACUUUGCUAAGCCUAUACCUCGAAUUUCUGAUUCAUAUAUUUGGUCAGGGGUUUCAGCUAGGGAUGGAUAAUUUGUACAACUAACAAAUUUCCAAAUUGUUGCUGAUGGUGGUUGUCUGGGGAUCAGACUUUAAGAAUCACUUUAGUAGCUUAUUCUAAAACACACUAUAUAUAGUUAUCCAAAUCACCUUAAUUACCUGUGCAAAGAUAUUCCAUAUGGAAUGUAAAGAUCAAUAUUAUAGUAUUUUCCCCCUGAAAGUCUUACAAUGUACGCAAAUGACAGGUUUUGUUGGUACUGGUCUAAUUGUAGAAAGUCUUCAGGUUAAGAAUAAGUCCCAUGUCAAUUUAUAGAGCAAACCUGUAAGUAACAUAUGAUUCAAACUCACAUUGUAACCUAUGAUGUUUCUAUGAAGAGAAUAUGAUUUUUCUAUAUUAUAAAAUGUGAGUCUCUAAUAGGCUAUUUGUGGAAAAUUCUAUGGCCUCUCUUCAUAGGGUAUUAUUUUAGUAAUAGCAUUAUAAUUCUCUCUUGCCACUUAGGUGAUAUUCUUCCUAUGAGCUCAGGAUGAUUACCAGAGGAGCUAAAUUUGUUCACUGUUUCUUGACUGAACACAAACCCACAUAGGCUUGUUGACUUUUUCUAGUAAAACUAUUGUUAAAAUUUAUCAAAUGCAAGGACCUAUAUGAAAGAGUAAACAAAAUGAAGAACAUGAAAGACUUAUCCAUGAUAUUCAGUUAUUGAAGGAUUAAGUUGAAUUACAAUCAGCAUGCAUAAUUAAAGCUUGUUGUUUGCUUCACUGGUAGGUAAAUCUGGCUCAAUUCAAAAAGUGGAACUGAAGCAAGGAGUUGAGGAAGAAGAUAGACAUGCAUUUGUGUGAAUGAGCAGCUGCUUGUGUGACAGGAAGGUCCAAUUUAUUAAUGGGGUUUCUCCCUUAAGCACUUGCCAUUGAUUGACAGCACUUCAAGGCUGUCAUUACAAGAAAAUGCUUAUGGUGCAUAUUUGCUUUAAAAAGGACAGAAAACCUAAAGGUUUCAAUUUACUACUUCCUAAUCAACUUUGAAAUGGAGGUCAAAUUUAUUAUGAGGGACUUAUUGAAAUAUAAAAAUACAUGUUACUGCAACUUAAUAGUGUCUUUAUAUAGAAAUUUAAAAUGGGAGAACGAAGAAUAUUUUUAUCCUAGGCAGCAGUCCUAGAAAUUAUUGUAGUUAUAACAAAGAUAUUAUCUAUUUUAAUUUUCUCUCUUAACAGUGAGGCUUACAAGAUCACUUAGUCUGUUGCAAUGUCAGUAAUGUUUGUUUACCUUUUCUCCUGCCAAAUUUGACUUUGUGCCUCAGUGCUAAUAAAGUUGGAAUACAUUACUGCUAUGAUGUUGAAAGUGUUGCCAUUUCUGAUGACAUUCUAAAUGGGAUUCCUUCAGGAGAAAGCUUACAUUCAUUCCACUAAAAUAUUCUUUGUUUAUAUAAGCAUAGUUGAUGUUUGCUUUUUCUUUUCCUUCCUUCCUUCCUUUCUUUCUUUCUUUCUUUCUUUCUUUCUUUCUUUCUUUCUUUCUUUCUUUCUUUCUCGCUUUCUUUCUUUUUUCUUUCCUUUCUCUUUCUUUCUCUCUGUCUCUCUUCCUUCCCCCUUUCUUCUUUCCUUCCUUCCUUCCUUCCUUUUCUUUCUUCCCCCCCAUGGAAAAGGGGACAACCUCUUGCUGUAUUUUCUGUGUGAGCAAUUACAUUGCUAAUGAGGCAUUUGGGUUGUGGCAGACCAAAUGAUUACUACGAGUGUGAUUUAAGUCUUUCUGUGAAAUCUUUUUAAGUAGUCAUUUUCUCCAUAACAAAGGAGGCAUUUAAAAGACAGUUGAAUUUGUAGCAAAUGAUAGUCUCAUUUCAUCUUCAUCUGAAAUUCUUGUACCUUUAAACAUCUUUCUGCCUGGUCAUUGCACAGCCUGUUUAUAAGCUGCAUACCUUCGUAUAAAAUAACUGCUGUCAGUCUUUUUCUCCUGAAAGGUUGUCGUUAAGCACAUUAUUGUGAGAAAGUAUGUAAUCUUAAGCUUUACCUUUAGAGAAAUAAUGGAUUCAGCCUAAGAAGGUCAUUGAUUUGAAAUCCAUUCCAAUUUCAUUACAUCUUCUAUUGGACGCUUUUUCUUAAAGAGGAAACCUCUUAUUCCCCUCAGGGAAAGGAGAGAUUUUCCAGCAGUGCACAAAUAAUUAUUUCAAAAUAAGUCUGUAAAUUUCUGUCAGACUUUAUGUAGCUUUAUUGACUUGACACUUGUAUAGGUCAUCAAGUAUAAUAGACAGCAACUGGUUCAAAACCUAAGGGACCUUCAGCCCUUACUCAUGAGUGGAUAAUGGAGCCACUGAUCGUGUGGGGCUGUAUGUGUCCUGGAAAAGUCUAUAUCCUUUCAUGUCAUGAGGAGGAAGUUCAAAUACAGAGAGAUUGGGAGAUUCAUAACUCUCUGAAACAAUUAGAUACUUUCAAAACAGAAAAGCCUUUGAGUCUCUUCUCUAAUGACUGGUGUUCAAAUUUUGCAGAGAACACUGUGUACUCAAGAGUUGGGAGACUGAGGUCUUCUAGCUGCUGUCAAAGGACAAGAUCUGCAGUUGUUAACUCACUCAAGUUGAGCCAGAUCCCUCAGAGUGUAAUGAGCAAUGGGCAGAGAUAAGAAAAUCCAGUGAGAGUAUCAACACCCACUUGAAAGGAGAAAUUCAGCAGUGAUGAAGCAAAUGAUCUUUCUCACAGGCUUUUUGCAACUUGAAAUGCUAACUAAAAGACUGUAUGCCAACCUUACAUAAAGGCUGGCUCAUGGAAGACACUUGGAUGUGUUUGUGGUGUCUGAAUCCAUUUCAUUGGUGAUAGAAAGUGAAACCAAAAAAGUGAAUAUUUCUAUUUUUAUUAAGAAGUUGGUUGAAAGAUUUCAGAAUGACCCCCUUAAGCAGGGUCAAACAUAUUCUAUUCAGGAUAACAUUUCUCCAGGCUAAAGUGAAAGGUUAAUUUAAUUAGCAUGACAUAACCGGACUCUUCCUAACUAAACCCAGAGGUAGUGUUAAUUUUCUUCAGUGACUUUGCCUUGAAUUCUUCAUAUCACUUUAGGAUGUGUAACAUAAUACUUUGAUCAACAUAAGUGCUUGAACUAAAUGGAACUGUGUGUCAGAAAAAAAUAUAGACUGUGGCAUUUGGUUUUAAAAUUGCUCUACUGAUUUGACCAAGUUGUUGUUUGUUGUUUUUUUAAAAGUUUCAACUGACCACAGAGUGAGUCAAAGAUCUUAGAAGAUAGAUUUGGUGAACUGACCAAUUUUCUGCCAUCACUGGUUUCUUUCUGAUUCCUUUUCUCCAGGAAAAUAUCCAGUUGAUAUUUACCUAGCUGCAGUCUCUUUAAGAAAGCUGUGCAGUGAGUAUGAUGUGAAGAUAGACACAGCCAGAACGGUGUGUGCUUUUGUACAAAACUUCUGGAUCAAUCAGUGAAGAGCCUGCCAUUUUUUUUUUCUUUUUUACUAUGUUCCAAGCUCAGGAACGGGUGUUCUAGUUCUCCUAGGAGCAUUAGAAAAUAAAAGGCAGAGACUGAAGGUAUGUCAGUGUCCUUCCACAAAAUGAGUGUGGGAAAUCCUACUGGGAACCAUGGCAGAUAAAAUCUUACCAGGAAGAGAAAAACAUCAAGAAAAGCUGACAGAAGCCUGGCCUCCUCUGUAGCUCAGAAACCUACACAGAACCAACUUCCCUUCUUUGUUGUUUCCAAAUAUUAAAUAUCUUGCCAUUUGCUUUAAAGGGAAACAAACCCAUUUUUAUCUUUCCUUAAGACAUAUCAAGGCUUUAAGUACAGGCAUGAUACUACUAUCCAUGAAUCUGAUGUUGGGUAGUCCAAACUCUGUAGCUACGUGAAUUAAUUCUGCAUGGCAUUAAAAACAAUUAUUAUUUUCAUUUUAUUAUAUGUCAAAAUAUUGUUUUGGAAGGAAAAAAUACAAGUCUAAACUUGUAUGAUAGGUCCAGUCUGCCUGGCUGUGCUGUUUUCUGUGUUUUUAAAAAUUGGUUCCAUGGAAACAAGUUUCAAAAGAAGGGUUUGCUUUCCAUGCAGGCAAAAAGCUUGUAGUUGAACUGCAUAGAAACGUUAGAGUCAAACAAAACAGAUUGGUUCCACACAGAAAAGAGUCAUUGCAGGUAACAUAUCAAGUGGACAAAAUAUUUCUGGUAUUGUUUUAAUCCAACAAGACACUGAGCUGGAUUGCUGCUAUGGCUGUAAAACUAGCAACUACUUUGCCUACUUCUUGACCCCAUCUGGUAAUUGAAUGGUGGUGUGGUUAUGACAUAAACAGUAACCUGUGUCCCCUGCUCAACUGCUUAUUUGUGUCCAGAUACCACAUGAAUGGGAGAGUACGGGCAGUGGUCGGCUACUGAUAUGCUAUUAAAUCCUUUAUAAUUAGCAUAUGUGUUGAGGAUAGCUUUAUCAAAAAAAAAUGCAAUCAUUGCUUCCGAUUUGGCAUUUUUAACCCUCUUUUUAUUUUGUGUUUAAAGUUUAAAAUAAUUCAAACACAAUUUUUAUGAUCAUAAGCAAAUUUAGUUCAUUUGGAAAGAAGGACAUCUCUUCUGUUUGACUUUUCUCUCACCAUUUGCAGUUGUUUCUGAAGAAUGUGGAGAGGGAUUAAAAGUCAGAAGUAAGAAAAAGGAAGCACAGAGGAAAAGUCUCUGAUUUAACUAAACACUCACAGUUCUUUAGGUGCUAGACUCAUUGCUCAAUAAAAUACAACUAGUUAUUGGAAAAACUCCCAAUGCAUUUUGAUGAGAAAUGUUCUCAUUUAAAAAAAAUCUAUGCAAAAUUUGUGAGAGCAGCCUGAGAAUAUCAAGAAUAUUUUAAGACUCAUACAUACAUUCACCAAAGCAUCAUCUGCCUCAAAGAAGAUGUGGAAUUUCAAAUUUCCUAUAAGAUUACUGAUGGUAGCAGAAACCUUAUUCUUAGAGUUUUGAGUAGAAACUACAAGGAAAAAAAUUCUCACAAAUUUAACGCCAACAAUUGUAGUUGAAAAAUAACUUUCAAUUUUUAUAUGGUAUUAUUCUUUGCUCUCAUACAGUCCCAUAAAAAUUGUGUUGAUGAAAUAGUAGUAAAAUCUGGCUGGGGAUUUAGCUCAGUGGUUCCACUGCCUGCCUCUCAAGUGCAAGAUCCCGAGAUCUAUCCCCGGUACCUGCGCCCCCCAAAUCUUUCUACUAUUUCUAAGGGCAAAUGUCCCAAAUAAGGUUCAAUAUAUAAUAAAGUAAUUGGUUAAACAGGUCCCAAUAACUUGGCACUAAUAUCACUGCCUUUUGUGUAACCCCACAUCUUACCCUUACCUGUCCCUGUGGAGAAAUGUCAUGUAUCAACUAGUUGGAAGGUUAGUUUGGCUGUUAAUAAGAUCUUGAGGAAAAACACUAGAGACAAGGCAAUCAAUGUAUAUGAAAACUGAGGGCUGGUUUAUUUGAGAAUAUCUAUGCCAAAUUGCCACUUGGAGAGGAGAGGAUAUAAGUGACGGUGGAUGGUUAAGUAUUUGUGGCAGGACUGGGUGAAACUCCUAUUGUUUUUCUGCCAACACGCCAGAACAGGUUUUGUAAAAAACGUCUUAAUGCAUGGUUGUCUGCCUGCUUUGUGCUACAUUUCAAUAGAAAAUAUGAAAAUCUCAUGAAUUUGACCGUGACCACAAGAUGUUUUAAAAGCUGCUUUCAACACCCACCCAAGUCAGAAGGAGAUCUCAUUAAUCCUAAAGACUCUAUCAGAAAUAAAUGAGUUCCUUUAUUUUAAAAAUUUACUUUUGUUUUUUGGAAGGAUACAUAUAAUUAACAUUCUAAGCAGUUUUCAAACAACUUUGAAUUUAU